rnacentral:rRNA from 1 species
AUCCUUUCGUACUAGACUAAUUUUAUUAUACCAGAAGAUAGAAACCAACCUGGCUCACGCCGGUCUGAACUCAGAUCAUGUAAAAUAUUAUGGGUCGAACAGACCCUAAAAUGUAGCUGCUGCACCACAUCUAAAUUUUAGUCCAACAUCGAGGUCGCAAACCUUUUUGUCGAUUAGAACUCUCAAAAAAGAUUACGCUGUUAUCCCUAAGGUAAUUUUAUCUUAUUAUCUUUUUUAAAGGAUCAAUUAUUCAUUUAUCAAAGUUUAUAUAAAAAGAGUUUUUUUAUCUUAAUGUCGCCCCAACAAAUUACAGAAUAAAAUCAUACCGGCCAAAUCUAAUGCAAUAUGAUAACUACUGUAUAAACUCUAUAGGGUCUUCUCGUCUUUCAGGAAUAUCUUAGUUUUUCACUAAGAAAUAAUUCCAUAUUAUAAUAAAAAAGAAGAUUCUCGUUUAGCCAUUCAUACCAGNCUCCAAUU